GCAGAGGGGAGCCGAGGAGCGCGGCCCAGAGGACAGUCCGCAGCAGGGGCAGCAGCCGCAUCGCCCCCGGGGUCCGGUCUGGUCUGGUCCGGCCGGUCCGGCCCGCUUCCCAGUCGCCGCGAGAAAGCUUUGCGGAGUGGCAGCAGAGUCCUUUUGCCCUGGAAAGGAAUGUCCUCGCCACAAGGAGCAAAGGCUCUCUCCCCUUCCUCCUCUGCCCUUCUGGAGAAGGAAGCCACACAGGGCACCCGGCCAGGCACCCUCGGGCAGGGCUGUGACCUCUCACCAGCAUCUUCCUGCGCUCAUCGAUCUGACAGAACCAGUGUGCACUGAGCGCCAUCUGUGUCCCAGGAGAAGGCUGCCCUGCCCUCCAGCAGCCCCCAGGCCAUUGAAAGACACGCACACACAACUGACGAGACACGACAAAGUCCCUGCCUCACAGCUGAGCCCACAAAACAUCUCCUGGAAGUCACUUCAAGCAAAACGCAUCCCAAACCACCAUAUCCAUCUCUAACACACCCGUGAGCACAGCAGUUUUCUGUGUGUGUGUGUGUGUGAUGUGUGCACAUGCCUAUGCAGCUCUCUUCUGUGUAUCUCCCAAAGUCCCACAUAACGUGUCAGUUUCUUAAGACAAAAAUGUUAAUUGUUG